rnacentral:lncRNA from 1 species
AGAAGAUUGACUAUACGACGCUCCCACUUGUUGCUCCUGAUCGGCGGACAGGUGAGAGACCUGAAAUAUCUCAAAAAGAAGCAACACAGGAUAACAGGUUAAAAAGGCCUCACAGGAAUGCAGAAUUUCAUUCUCAGCCUCAGAUCCAAACAACUCAACAAAUACAAAGAAUUCCUGAACAUGACAGAAAGAAAGUGUUCCAAGCAGCAUCUUCUGGACGUAUUAUAGCAGUAAUACUAGGAAUUAUAUGUGUCAUCCUUUUGGGAAUAUCAGCAUUUUUUGCUACUAAGUAUUUUCAAA